rnacentral:rRNA from 1 species
GAUGAACGCUGGCGGCGUGCCUAAUACAUGCAAGUCGAGCGGACGGACGAGAAGCUUGCUUCUCUGAUGUUAGCGGCGGACGGGUGAGUAACACGUGUAUAACCUACCUAUAAGACUGGGAUAACUUCGGGAAACCGGAUCUAAUACCGGAUGAGAUUUUGAACCGCAUGGUUCAAAAGUGAAAUACGGUGUUUCGGUCACUUAUAGAUGGAUCCGCGCUGGAUUAGCUAGUUGGUAAGGUAACGGCUUAGCAAGGCAACGAGGCAUAGCCGAACUGAGAGGGUGAUCGGCGACACUGGAACGGAGCCACGGUCCAGGCUCCUAAGGGAGGCAGCAGAAGGGUAUCUUACGCAAUGGGCGAAAGCCUGACGGAGCAACGCCGCGUGAGAGAUGAAGGUCUUCGGAUCGUAAAACUCUGUUAUUAGGGAAGAACAUAUGUGUAAGUAACUGUGCCGAUAUUGACGGUAACUAAUAAGAAAGCCACGGCUAACUACGUG